rnacentral:rRNA from 1 species
UACGGAGGGGGCGAGCGUUGUUCGGAAUUACUGGGCGUAAAGGGCGCGUAGGCGGUGACGUUAGUCGGGCGUGAAAGCCCCGGGCUCAACCUGGGAUGUGCGUUCGAUACUGCGUUGCUUGAGAGCGGAAGAGGGUAGUGGAAUUCCCAGUGUAGAGGUGAAAUUCGUAGAUAUUGGGAAGAACACCAGUGGCGAAGGCG